rnacentral:rRNA from 2 species
UAAAGCGCGCGCAGGCGGUUUCUUAACUCUGAUGUGAAAGCCCACGGCUCAACCGUGGAGGGUCAUUGGAAACUGGGGAACUUGAGUGCAGAAGAGAAAAGCGGAAUUCCACGUGUAGCGGUGAAAUGCGUAGAGAUGUGGAGGAACACCAGUGGCGAAGGCGGCUUUUUGGUCUGUAACUGACGCUGAGGCGCGAAAGCGUGGGGAGCAAACAGGAUUAGAUACCCUGGUAGUCCACGCCGUAAACGAUGAGUGCUAAGUGUUAGAGGGUUUCCGCCCUUUAGUGCUGCAGCUAACGCAUUAAGCACUCCGCCUGGGGAGUACGGUCGCAAGACUGAAACUCAAAGGAAUUGACGGGGGCCCGCACAAGCGGUGGAGCAUGUGGUUUAAUUCUAAGCAACGCGAAGAACCUUACCAGGUCUUGACAUCCUCUGACAACUCUAGAGAUAGAGCGUUCCCCUUCGGGGGACAGAGUGACAGGUGGUGCAUGGUUGUCGUCAGCUCGUGUCGUGAGAUGUUGGGUUAAGUCCCGCAACGAGCGCAACCCUUGAUCUUAGUUGCCAGCAUUCAGUUGGGCACUCUAAGGUGACUGCCGGUGACAAACCGGAGGAAGGUGGGGAUGACGUCAAAUCAUCAUGCCCCUUAUGACCUGCGCUACACACGUGCUACAAUGGAUGGUACAAAGGGCUGCAAGACCGCGAGGUCAAGCCAAUCCCAUAAAACCAUUCU